rnacentral:rRNA from 1 species
UGUUUCCUACGGGAGGCAGCAGUGGGGAAUAUUGCGCAAUGGGCGAAAGCCUGACGCAGCGACGCCGCGUGAGGGACGAAGGUCUUCGGAUCGUAAACCUCUGUCAGCAGGGAAGAACGGUCACUGUGCUAAUCAGCAGUGAAUUGACGGUACCAGCAAAGGAAGCACCGGCUAACUCCGUGCCAGCAGCCGCGGUAAUACGGAGGGUGCGAGCGUUAAUCGGAAUUACUGGGCGUAAAGCGCUCGUAGGCGGUAUGUCCAGUCAAGGGUGAAAUCCCCG